rnacentral:rRNA from 1 species
UGGGGAAUCUUGCACAAUGGGGGAAACCCUGAUGCAGCGACGCCGCGUGAGCGAUGAAGCCCUUCGGGGUGUAAAGCUCUUUCGUCAGGGAAGAUAGUGACGGUACCUGGAGAAGCAGCUGCGGCUAACUACGUGCCAGCAGCCGCGGUAAUACGUAGGCAGCAAGCGUUGUUCGGAGUUACUGGGCGUAAAGGGUGUGUAGGCGGUUCUUUAAGUUUGCUGUGAAAUCUCCCGGCUUAACCGGGAGGGUGCGGUGAAUACUGAGGGACUAGAGUACGGGAGAGGAAAGUGGAAUUCCUGGUGUAGCGGUGAAAUGCGUAGAUAUCAGGAGGAACACCGGUGGUGUAGACGGCUUUCUGGACCGUAACUGACGCUGAGACACGAAAGCGUGGGUAGCAAACAGGAUUAGAUACCCCCGUAGUCC